rnacentral:rRNA from 1 species
GUGGGGAAUAUUGCGCAAUGGGCGAAAGCCUGACGCAGCGACGCCGCGUGAGGGAUGAAGGUUUUCGGAUCGUAAACCUCUGUCAGAAGGGAAGAAACUACAUUGUGCUAAUCAGCAGUGUACUGACGGUACCUUCAAAGGAAGCACCGGCUAACUCCGUGCCAGCAGCCGCGGUAAUACGGAGGGUGCAAGCGUUAAUCGGAAUUACUGGGCGUAAAGCGCACGUAGGCUGUAGUGUAAGUCAGGGGUGAAAUCCCACGGCUCAACCGUGGAACUGCCUUUGAUACUGCACAACUUGAAUCCGGGAGAGGGUGGCGGAAUUCCAGGUGUAGGAGUGAAAUCCGUAGAUAUCUGGAGGAACAUCAGUGGCGAAGGCGGCCACCUGGACCGGUAUUGACGCUGAGGUGCGGAAGCGUGGGGAGCAAACAGGAUUAGAUACCCGGGUAGUCC